AUUAGAAGGAGAGUUCAGCUCUGAACUUGUCCAUGUGGAUUCGAAGCCGGUCGCUUCUGUUUCACCACAUGAAGCAGCAGAAGGCCAUGGAGGAAAUAACUCCUUGAAUCCCACCCUGCUUUCAUUCCCUGUCGCUCUUCCCUCGGACUGGAGUCAUGCCCCCGAAUCGCGCCGUGGAGGGCUUCCCUCCGUCCGCCCGCGUCUCACUGGAGACAUGUUGCAGCGGAGAGCAGAGAGACGUCAGGAGCCGAGGAGCAGAGGAACGCUCGCUGGAGCAAGAGGACAAAUAGUGGAGACCGAGGCAGAGGGGGAACUCACAGGAAUCGCAGAGAUGAGUUUACCGAAUAACUGUAUGUACCUGGCGCCCUCGGUCCAGGAUCGCUGCUUCAAAGUGCGGAGCGGGAACAUCUGUGGGUCACCGUGCGCCGUCAACCGGCCCAUAGACAUCGUCCAGAAGCGUAGGCGUUUUGAUGUGGAGAAUGGCCUGUCGGUGGGUCGCAGUCCACUGGACUCUCAGACGAGCCCGGGAUCCGGUCUGGUACUUCAGGGCAACUUCCCUCACAGUCAGCGCCGGGAGUCUUUCCUCUACCGCUCCGACUCAGACUUCGACCUGUCGCCCAAAACUAUGUCUCGCAACUCGUCCACUGCCAGCGACCUGGAGGAAGGACUGAAGCAUUGGGAAGUUAAUUGGCUACCUCGGCAUGGAGAAGACAUGAUAGUGACUCCAUUUGCACAGGUUCUGGCCAGUCUGCGAACAGUAAGAAGUAACGUCGCUGCUCUGACGCAUCUCCAAGAUCGUGUGGUGAACAAACGACCAUCGAGCGCCAGUCAGCCGCCGCUGUGCAAACCGUGUCUCUCAGAAGAGCCUUAUCAGAAGCUCACGAUGGAGACUCUGGAGGAGCUGGACUGGUGUCUGGACCAGCUGGAGACGCUGCAGACGAGACACUCAGUCAGCGAAAUGGCGUCCAAUAAGUUUAAGAGGAUGCUAAACCGUGAGCUAACGCAGCUAUCAGAGACGAGUCGCUCAGGGAACCAGGUGUCAGAAUUCAUCGCCAGCACUUUCCUCGAGAAGCAACAUGACUUGGAGAUCCUGUCUCCGCUUGCUAAGGAGAAGGAGAAGAAAAAAAGGCCGAUGUCACAGAUUAGCGGUGUGAAAAAGGCCACACAAAGCCCAAGCUUAGCGCCUGCUUGCAUCCCUCGCUUUGGAGUCAACACACCGCACGAGAGCAUGUUGGCAAAGGAAAUUGAGGACCUUAAUCGAUGGGGUAUGGAUAUUUUCAAACUAGCAGAAUAUUCAGGAAAUCGCCCUCUGACGGUGAUGAUGUACUCCAUCUUCCAGGAGCGAGAUCUCCUGAAAACCUUCAAGGUGCCAAUCGACACCUUCCUCACCUUCAUGAUGACUUUAGAGGACCACUACCAUGCGGACGUAGCUUAUCACAACAACAUCCACGCUGCUGAUGUGGUGCAAUCCACCCAUGUUCUUCUGUCCACUCCUGCUUUAGAGGCGGUGUUUACAGACCUAGAGAUCAUGGCCGCUCUUUUUGCAAGCGCCAUCCAUGACGUCGACCACCCAGGUGUCACCAACCAGUUUCUCAUAAACACAAGUUCUGAAUUGGCGCUAAUGUACAACGAUUCAUCUGUGCUGGAGAACCAUCAUCUCGCUGUUGGCUUCAAGCUGCUGCAAGAGGAAAACUGUGACAUCUUCCAGAACCUCAGCAAGAAACAGAAAGACUCGCUGCGGAAGAUGGUGAUUGACAUGGUGCUGGCCACAGAUAUGUCCAAACACAUGAACUUCUUGGCAGACAUGAAGACGAUGGUGGAGACCAAGAAAGUGACGAGUUUGGGAGUCCUGCUGCUAGACAAUUAUUCUGACCGCAUCCAGGUUUUACAGAACAUGGUCCACUGUGCUGACUUAAGUAACCCAACCAAACCACUGGAGCUGUAUCGGAAAUGGACGGACCGCAUCAUGGUGGAGUUCUUCACCCAGGGAGACCGAGAGCGGGACAAGGGGAUGGAGAUCAGUCCUAUGUGCGACAAACACAACGCCUCCAUAGAGAAGAGCCAAGUGGGGUUCAUUGACUACAUCGUUCACCCGCUGUGGGAGACCUGGGCCGACCUGGUGCACCCUGACGCCCAGGACAUUCUGGAUACGCUUGAAGACAACAGGGAGUGGUACCAGAGCAUGAUCCCCCGCAGCCCCUCGCCGACAAGCCCAGACGAGCCUCACGCUGAGGUGGGACUCGCAGCUGGCACUCCAGGGUCAGGAGGAGCCUUCCCGUCAUCGGCAGGAGACAAAUUCCAGUUUGAACUCACUUUGGAGGAGGAGGAGGAGGACGAGGAGGAGGAGGCGGAGUCUGACCUCGAGAGCCCCUUAGAGGAGGAGUCUCAGACCAGUGGAGAUCGGAGACAUGAUUCGUCCUCUCCGUCCCUGUCUCCAGACCCCCGUGGCGGCGGCAGCAGCAGGUACCGCCCUCCCUCCCCUCACCCGUCUCGGACCCUGAGUCUGGCCUCCAUGUCGGUGCGGAGCCCCCACCCUCACAGGACGCUGGGCUCCCCGGAGACUUCGGACAGGAACAGAGAGCUGAGCCAGGAGGGCGACGGCGUGCCCUGCCUGCGGAUGGGAACGUAAUGACCAGCAGGAGCCGACUUGCCGCAGAGACAUGAGCGCUGGAGGCAUCGGCAGGACGAGCCUUCGCCAGUAAUCAAGAUGAAAUGUUUUAUCCUCUGUCCGAGUGCCUGAUAGGCUUUCCUGGUUUCCUGCAGCUUCAGCUGAUGAAUAAUUGCUGCAUUUAAACUGGGAAGAGUGGAAUUAAGGCUUGUACUCACACAAAGGUAACAAAACCUAAAAGGAAACGUCUUCCUCCAAAAUAACUGUGACAUCCGAGCAUGGGCGACGAAUGGGGACUACAGUGGUGUGACAGGGUUUUGGAAAUGAUUUUGCACCAUCGUUUUAAUUUAGGAUUUAGAAUAAUUAAGCUGGGAUAGGUGAGUAUGAUUUAUUUGUUUAAGAAUGGCGUGUGAAAUGAGUCAGUUAACCAAAUACGGGAUGUAGAUGAGAAAAUCGACCGACCUAAACCUCAGGGUAUGAAGUGAAGCAUAAACCUAAUGUAGCACAGGUGUACUAAACCCCCCAACCCAACCCCAAAUUGUGUUUCCUGUUUGUCUCAUUCAGAAAUGAGACUUUGUCCAAAAUGUGUGUCUUUACAUUUAUUUAAAUCCCUUUAAUAGAGAAUUUGGCAGAUGAAGCAAUCAGAUAUUCAAACCAGCUUGUAGCACCAUGAGAACCGAACACUUUAGACUGAACUCCAGUCUCACCUGUUGAAAAGACACCAAUGUACACUUAGUUUGAGCUUUAUUCUAUUUUUACCUUAUAUUUUAAAUUGUUUAUGUUUUGAUUUCUGUACUGGUCCUCAUUGUAUGUUUGCUGGUCUUGUGUGUUUUUGUGCUCAAGAAAAGCAUUUUUUAAUCAGGGUGCCUCCAGUCCGCAGUAGCACUUUACCGACUUUACCGUUCUGCUCUUGUAUUUAGUGACACAAAGGGCUUCACCCACUGUAGGCCUACUGAUCACAAAACAGAUCUGUACAGGACA